rfam:Lactobacillus reuteri DSM 20016, complete genome.
AAAAACACGUUGAAAAGAAGAGUAAUUAUGAGUGGAUUAGCAGAGAGUCCUUGGUUGAUGGAAAAGGAUAACCUGCUUAUAAUGAAAAUCACUUUGAGUGCCAUGAUGAAAUUAGUAAUUAAUGGUGGGAUCAGCCCAUUAUAGCUGACGUGUUUAAUGGAAACAUUGAACAUUUGAGGCUAAUAAUGUGAAUUAUUGGCGAAUUAAGGUGGUACCACGCAAAAAGCGUCCUUAGG